rnacentral:rRNA from 1 species
UACGUAGGUGGCAAGCGUUGUCCGGAUUUACUGGGCGUAAAGGGCGUGCAGGCGGUUUGUUAAGUGCAGGGUGAAAGCUCCCGGCUCAACUGGGAGAGGUCCUUGCAUACUGGCAAACUCGAGGGAGGCAGAGGAAAGUGGAAUUCCCGGUGUAGUGGUGAUAUGCGUAGAUAUCGGGGGGAACACCUGUGGCGAAGGCGGCUUUCUGGGCCUUACCUGACGCUGAGACGCGAAAGCGUGGGGAGCGAACAGG